UACGUAGGGGGCAAGCGUUGUCCGGAAUCAUUGGGCGUAAAGCGCGCGUAGGCGGCUCGGUAAGUCCGUUGUGAAAGUCAAAGGCUCAACCUUUGAAUGCCGAUGGAUACUGUCGAGCUAGAGUCCGGAAGAGGCGAGUGGAAUUCCUGGUGUAGCGGUGGAAUGCGCAGAUAUCAGGAGGAACACCAAUAGCGAAGGCAGCUCGCUGGGACGGUACUGACGCUAAGGCGCGAAAGCGUGGGGAGCGAACAGG
rnacentral:rRNA from 1 species